rnacentral:rRNA from 1 species
GCUCAGGAUGAACGCUAGCUACAGGCUUAACACAUGCAAGUCGAGGGGUAGCAGGGUAGCAAUACCGCUGACGACCGGCGCACGGGUGAGUAACACGUAUCCAACCUUCCCAUAACUCGGGGAUAGCCUUUCGAAAGAAAGAUUAAUACCCGAUAGUACUUUUUCAAGGCAUCUUGAGAAAGUUAAAGAUUUAUUGGUUAUGGAUGGGGAUGCGUUCCAUUAGAUAGUUGGUGAGGUAACGGCUCACCAAGUCUUCGAUGGAUAGGGGUUCUGAGAGGAAGGUCCCCACAUUGGUACUGAGACACGGACCAAACUCCUACGGGAGGCAGCAGUGAGGAAUAUUGGUCAAUGGGCGAGAGCCUGAACCA